rnacentral:misc_RNA from 1 species
CCCCUGCUUUUAGUCCUGCUGUAGCUGCAUUUCCACCCCCAUCUACAGCCGUGAUGACCACACCACCACCACUCUUUUGACCCAGAGUGAGGCCUAGUGGUUUGUCAACAUCAACCUCAAUAGUCUUUGAAGCUCCAGCAGUUCUUGCAGUGAUCUGAAGCCCUCUUCUUGCAUUGGUGAAAUUGUUCUUCUUCUCAGCUAUGAAGAUCUCUGAGGAACCCCUUUUGGCAUCUUGAAGUGAUAGACCUUGAAAAGCAGUUCUCUGGCAUGGAGAGGAUAGUAUUGGUUUGGGGGAUGCAGUUGGAGGGGCUUUGAUGGAGUGGUUCCUGGUGAAGGUGGUGGAGCAAGAAGAGGAGGACCCUGCAAUCACAGCUGAAGACAU